UUGGAGGGCAAGUCUGGUGCCAGCAGCCGCGGUAAUUCCAGCUCCAAUAGCGUAUAUUAAAGUUGUUGAGGUUAAAAAGCUCGUAGUUGAACCUUGGGCCCAGCCGGCCGGUCCGCCUCACCGCGUGCACUGGCUCGGCCGGGCCUUUCCUUCUGGAGAACCCGGUGCCCUUUAUUGGGUGUCGUGGGGAACCAGGACUUUUACUCUGAAUAAAUUAGAUCGCUUAAAGAAGGCUCUUGCUUGAAUAUUCUAGCAUGGAAUAAUAGAAUAGGACGUGUGGUU
rnacentral:rRNA from 1 species